rnacentral:ncRNA from 1 species
UUCCGAAAUUUGUGUGAAAAAUAUUCUUUUAUAGUAUAAAAAUGGCAUUAUAGCCGGUGAAUGCGCUAUUGCGCGCUGGUGCCGGACUAGUGAUGUGGCCCACCACCAUGUGGACGUUUAUAAGUGUGUUGUAUGCUUUGCUUUCGGGCUUAGUGUCCUGAUCGACCAUCAAAACGGUCGAAUUGAAUUUGGUACGGACUCGGAGAAACCAACUGUCUAAUUAAAACAGACGAGAGAGACUAUUCUUGCGGAUGUUUACAGCCAUUGAUUUCUGCCUAGCGCCCCGAUUGUUAAAACGUAGAAUUUCGAGUUAGUGUAGGUGAACGGCGGAAGUAACUAAGACUCUCCUGAGGUAGAUCGUUUUCAUCCAGAUAGCUUCUAGUAAGAGGUGUCAGAAAAGUUACGACAAGGACAAUUGGUGUGUGACAGCCAAGCCUCCAUAGCAACGUUGCUUUCUGAUCCUUCGAUGUCAGAUCUUCCUAUCCAUGCGAAGCAGAAUUGGCCAAGUGUUGGAUUGUUCACCCACUAAUAGGGAACGUGAGCUGGGUUUAGAUCGUCGUGAGAUAGGUUAGUUUUAUCCUACUGUUAACAUGUUGCUGCGAUGGUUAUCCUGCUUAGUACGAGAGAAACAGCAGGUUCAGACACUUAGUUCAUGGACUUGACCAGUCGACCAAUUGUUCGAAGCUAACUUCAGGGGAAUUAUGACUGAACGCCUAUUAGAAUCCCACCUAGUCAACCUGAACUUUGUUUCGCGGUGUCAGGAGGCAACUAUUCAUGACUUAACAUGAGAGCUUAUGCGCUAGUAUAUGACUUUGCCGGCAUGGAUAACCGCUGACCGCUAAACCCAGAUAACUCUGGUUCAAUGUUGGGGCGCAAAAUCACAUGUUUACUACACGUAUACUGGUCAAGGUGUUGUUUCCAACAGGACAGUUUUGCAUACUGCGAUCUUUUGAGACUAUGCUCUGAUCGGGUGU